rnacentral:rRNA from 1 species
UACAGAGGUCUCAAGCGUUGUUCGGAUUCAUUGGGCGUAAAGGGUGCGUAGGUGGCGCCGUAAGUCGGGUGUGAAAUUUCGGAGCUUAACUCCGAAACUGCAUUCGAUACUGCGGUGCUUGAGGACUGGAGAGGAGACUGGAAUUCAUGGUGUAGCAGUGAAAUGCGUAGAGAUCAUGAGGAACACCAGUGGCGAAGGCGACUACCUGGCCUGUUUCUUGACGCUGAGGCGCGAAAGCUAGGGGAGCAAACGGG